AAAGCCCCUUCGGGGGCAAGUAGAGUGGCGCACGGGUGAGUAACACGUAGGUAAUCUACCUUCGGAUGGGGAAUAACAACCGGAAACGGUUGCUAAUACCGCAUAAUGCAGCGGCACCUAAUGGUGACAGUUGUUAAAGCGGGGGAUCGCAAGACCUCGCGUCUGAAGAGGAGCCUGCGGCGGAUUAGCUAGUUGGUAGGGUAACGGCCUACCAAGGCGACGAUCCGUAGCCGGCCUGAGAGGGCGGUCGGCCACACUGACACUGACAUACGGGUCAGACUCCUACGGGAGGCAGCAGUCGGGAAUUUUGGGCAAUGGGCGAAAGCCUGACCCAGCAACGCCGCGUGAAGGAUGAAAUCCCUCGGGAUGUAAACUUCGCAAGAACGGGAAGAAUAAGUCUGCGCGAACAUCGCAGGCGAUGACGGUACUGUUUGUAAGCUCCGGCUAACUCCGUGCCAGCAGCCGCGGUAAUACGGGGGGAGCAAGCGUUGUUCGGAUUUACUGGGCGUAAAGGGCGCGUAGGCGGCCACUGCAAGUCAAUUGUGAAAUCUCCGGGCUUAACUCGGAAAGGUCAACUGAUACUGCAGGGCUAGAGUGCGGAAGGGGCAACUGGAAUUCUCGGUGUAGCGGUGAAAUGCGUAGAUAUCGAGAGGAACACCUGCGGCGAAGGCGGGUUGCUGGGCCGACACUGACGCUGAGUGCGCGAAAGCUAGGGGAGCGAACGGGAUUAGAUACCCCGGUAGUCCUAGCCUUAAACGAUGAAUGCUUGGUGUCUGGGGUUUUAUAGUCCCCGGGUGCCGUC
rnacentral:rRNA from 1 species